UAAAAAUUUAAAUUUAAGUGUUAAAGUAGUAUUAGUUAAGUUCUUUAAAUUUAAAAAAUUUGGCGGUAUUUUAGUCUAUUCAGAGGAACCUGUUUUGUAAUUGAUAAUCCACGAUGAAUCUUACUUAAAUUUGUUUAUUCAGUUUAUAUAUCGUCGUUUAUAGAAUAUUUUAUAAAAAAAAUAAUUUUCUUAAUUAUUAAUUAAAAAUAUAUCAGAUCAAGAUGUAGCUUAUAUUUAAGUUUAUAAUGGGUUACAUUUAUAUUAUUAUAUUGGAUCUAAGUAUGAAAUUUAUUUAGUGAAAUUGGAUUUGAUAGUAAAUUUAUAAAGAUAGAUAAAUUGAUUUUAGCUCUAAAAUAUG
rnacentral:rRNA from 1 species